rnacentral:piRNA from 1 species
UAGACUAAAGGACAGGCUUUUGUACAUAAU